AGGUCUCGGUUGGUGACCAGCGGAGGGAUCAUUACCGAGUUUACAACUCCCAAACCCCUGUGAACAUACCACUUGUUGCCUCGGCGGAUCAGCCCGCUCCCGGUAAAACGGGACGGCCCGCCAGAGGACCCCUAAACUCUGUUUCUAUAUGUAACUUCUGAGUAAAACCAUAAAUAAAUCAAAACUUUCAACAACGGAUCUCUUGGUUCUGGCAUCGAUGAAGAACGCAGCAAAAUGCGAUAAGUAAUGUGAAUUGCAGAAUUCAGUGAAUCAUCGAAUCUUUGAACGCACAUUGCGCCCGCCAGUAUUCUGGCGGGCAUGCCUGUUCGAGCGUCAUUUCAACCCUCAAGCACAGCUUGGUGUUGGGACUCGCGUUAAUUCGCGUUCCUCAAAUUGAUUGGCGGUCACGUCGAGCUUCCAUAGCGUAGUAGUAAAACCCUCGUUACUGGUAAUCGUCGCGGCCACGCCGUUAAACCCCAACUUCUGAAUGUUGACCUCGGAUCAGGUAGGAAUACCCGCUGAACUUAAGCAUAUCAAUAAGCGGAGGA
rnacentral:rRNA from 1 species